ACGCACAUUGCGGCCCUAGG
rnacentral:rRNA from 1 species